rnacentral:rRNA from 1 species
CCCUUAGAUGUUCUGGGCCGCACGCGCGCUACACUGACGAUGGCAACGAGUUUUUCCUUCGCCGAAAGGUGUGGGUAAUCUUGUGAAACAUCGUCGUGCUGGGGAUAGAUCAUUGCAAUUUUUGAUCUUGAACGAGGAAUUCCUAGUAAGCGCGAGUCAUCAGCUCGCGUUGAUUACGUCCCUGCCCUUUGUACACACCGCCCGUCGCUACUACCGAUUGAAUGGUUUAGUGAGGACUCCUGAUUGGCGCCGCCGCCCCGGCAACGGAGCAGCGGACUGCCGAAAAGUUGUUCAAACUUGAUCAUUUAGAGGAAGUAAAAGUCGUAACA